GGCGGAAGAAGUUCAUCAGCGGGGCCACGUGCUGAGUGAUCGUCACUCUUCGGCCCCUGGGAAGGUCUGAGACUGGGGCCUCCCGCAGCCCUAACCGGGCUCUCCCCUAGCAGGGAGAUGAGUUCCCAGAGAGCAGGGCUCUACGAGUGGGCAGACUGGGCAGGAGAAGCCCUGAGUCAGGGCAGAUGCCUCCCUCACCGGAGCUUGGAACAGACUCACGGCCAGCAGAGCGAGUUUUAACCAUUUAUAUUUUUUUAACAUGAAACACAGAACAAUAAUCAUUCAAACAACAAAACAAAAACAAACAUGAAUUAACAGAUAUAUGGAC
ensembl:ribozyme Rprl1 ribonuclease P RNA-like 1